rnacentral:rRNA from 1 species
UACGUAGGGUGCAAGCGUUGUCCGGAAUUAUUGGGCGUAAAGCGCUCGCAGGCGGCUCGAUGCGUCGUGCGUGAAACACCCCGGCUCAACUGGGGAGGGUCGUGCGAUACGGUCGGGCUGGAGGCCAGUAGGGGGAUGCGGAAUUCCGGGUGUAGUGGUGGAAUGCGUAGAGAUCCGGAGGAACACCAGCGGCGAAGGCGGCAUCCUGGACUGGUCCUGACGCUCAGGAGCGAAAGCGUGGGGAGCAAACAGG